rnacentral:SRP_RNA from 1 species
GCCAGGCGUUGUGGCGGGCGCCUGUAGUCCCAGCUACUUGGGAGGCUGAGGCAGGAGACUCGCUUGAGCCCAGGAGUUGGAGGUUGCUGUGAGCGUGAUGCCAUGGCACUCUACCCAGGGGGAUAGCUUGAGGCUCCGUCUCAAAAAAAAAAAAAAAAAGAGUUGGAGGUUCUGUGAGCUGUGACGCCACGGCACUCUACCCAGGGUGACAUAGAGAGACUCUGUCUCAA